rnacentral:lncRNA from 1 species
UUGGAAUAUGGACAGAUUUGGUUCCACAGUUAUCAUAACUUACCUGAUCUUUCAGCCUUUGUAGGAUGUCUUCCAGAUUUUUAAUUUAUACCUUGUUAAUCUAACAAAAUGGAAGACUGAUUACCCUGGAGUUCAUGGCCUGCCACAAAUGGAUGAAAACCCAGAAUUCUCAGUAGUCCAUGCUUCAUUGAACAGAAUUAAGAAAAAGAAAGAGCAACAACGUUAUGCUGAAGAGCAGAAGAUCGAAAGAAUGAACUUUAAGGAAGAACCAUGUUCAGGGGAAAAAAUGAGUGGUAUGUUAGCCCAGUUACAACUUGAAGAACUGAAAGAAACUAGAGAAAAACAACAACAGAGAGAAAAAGAACACAUAAGGUAAUUUGAAAAGUUUUGCAUGAAAUUCUGAUUCUAGAGGAGACUUAGUAG